AUGAACGCUGGCGGCAUGCUUCACCCAUGCAAGUCGCACGGGAAGUGGUGUUUCCAGUGGCGAACGGGUGAGUAACGCGUAAGAACCUGCCCUUGGGAGGGGAACAACAACUGGAAACGGUUGCUAAUACCCCGUAGGCUGAGGAGCAAAAGGAGAAAUCCGCCCAAGGAGGGGCUCGCGUCUGAUUAGCUAGUUGGUGAGGUAAUAGCUUACCAAGGCGAUGAUCAGUAGCUGGUCCGAGAGGAUGAUCAGCCACACUGGGACUGAGACACGGCCCAGACUCCUACGGGAGGCAGCAGUGGGGAAUUUUCCGCAAUGGGCGAAAGCCUGACGGAGCAAUGCCGCGUGGAGGUGGAAGGCCUACGGGUCGUCAACUUCUUUUCUCGGAGAAGAAACAAUGACGGUAUCUGAGGAAUAAGCAUCGGCUAACUCUGUG
rnacentral:rRNA from 1 species